rnacentral:rRNA from 1 species
UGGGGAAUUGUUCGCAAUGGGCGCAAGCCUGACGACGCAACGCCGCGUGGAGGAUGAAGAUCUUCGGGUCGUAAACUCCUUUCGAUCGAGACGAAUGGCCUCGGGGCGAAUAUCCCAGGGGAAUGACGGUACCGAGAGAAGAAGCCCCGGCUAACUCCGUGCCAGCAGCCGCGGUAAUACGGGGGGGGCAAGCGUUGUUCGGAAUUACUGGGCGUAAAGGGCUCGUAGGUGGCCAACUAAGUCAGACGUGAAAUCCCUCGGCUUAACCGGGGAACUGCGUCUGAUACUGGAUGGCUUGAGUUUGGGAGAGGGAUGCGGAAUUCCAGGUGUAGCGGUGAAAUGCGUAGAUAUCUGGAGGAACACCGGUGGCGAAGGCGGCAUCCUGGACCAACACUGACACUGAGGAGCGAAAGCCAGGGGAGCAAACGGGAUUAGAUACCCCCGUAGUCC